UACGUAGGGUGCAAGCGUUGUCCGGAUUUAUUGGGCGUAAAGAGCUCGUAGGCGGCUCGUCGCGUCGGCUGUGAAAACCCACGGCUUAACUGUGGGCUUGCAGCUGAUACGGGCGGGCUGGAGUUCGGUAGGGGAGACUGGAAUUCCUGGUGUAGCGGUGAAAUGCGCAGAUAUCAGGAGGAACACCGGUGGCGAAGGCGGGGCUCUGGGCCGAUACUGACGCUGAGGAGCGAAAGCGUGGGGAGCGAACAGG
rnacentral:rRNA from 1 species